GACGAACGCUGGCGGCGUGCUUAACACAUGCAAGUCGAACGGAAAGGCCCUGCUUUUGUGGGGUGCUCGAGUGGCGAACGGGGGAGUAACACGUGAGUAACCUGCCCUUGACUUUGGGAUAACUUCAGGAAACUGGGGCUAAUACCGGAUAGGAGCUCCUGCUGCAUGGUGGGGGUUGGAAAGUUUCGGCGGUUGGGGAUGGACUCGCGGCUUAUCAGCUUGUUGGUGGGGUAGUGGCUUACCAAGGCUUUGACGGGUAGCCGGCCUGAGAGGGUGACCGGCCACACUGGGACUGAGAUACGGCCCAGACUCCUACGGGAGGCAGCAGUGGGGAAUAUUGCACAAUGGGCGGAAGCCUGAUGCAGCAACGCCGCGUGCGGGAUGACGGCCUUCGGGUUGUAAACCGCUUUCGCCUGUGACGAAGCGUGAGUGACGGUAAUGGGUAAAGAAGCACCGGCUAACUACGUG
rnacentral:rRNA from 1 species